ACCAGUUUCCGUACGAUCACUGAAGUUAAGCAUUCUCGUACCUGGUCGGUACUUAGAUAGGUAACCGCUUGGGAAUACUAGGUACUGUAAG